rnacentral:rRNA from 1 species
GAAAUGCGAUAAGUAAUGUGAAUUGCAGAAUUCAGUGAAUCAUCGAAUCUUUGAACGCACCUUGCGCCCCUUGGUAUUCCGAGGGGCAUGCCUGUUUGAGUGUCAUUAAAUUCUCAACCUUACUAGCUUUUACUAGCUAUGUAAUGGCUUGGAAGUGGGGGUCUUUUGCUGGUUUCGCAAGAAGUCAGCUCCCCUAAAAUGCAUUAGCCGGUGCCCCGCGUGGACCGUCUAUUGGUGUGAUAAUUAUCUACGCCGUUAGACGUCUGCUAUUAAAUGGGAUGCGCUGCUUCUAAUCGUCCGUCUUGGACAAUUAAUGACUAUUUGACCUCAAAUCAGGUAGGACUACCCGCUGAACUUAA